rnacentral:piRNA from 1 species
UGAACUUCUGAUUCCCCUGCUGCUACCUCCC